CAGCAGCCGCGGUAAUACGGAGGAUCCGAGCGUUAUCCGGAUUUAUUGGGUUUAAAGGGAGCGUAGAUGGAUGUUUAAGUCAGUUGUGAAAGUUUGCGGCUCAACCGUAAAAUUGCAGUUGAUACUGGAUAUCUUGAGUGCAGUUGAGGCAGGCGGAAUUCGUGGUGUAGCGGUGAAAUGCUUAGAUAUCACGAAGAACUCCGAUUGCGAAGGCAGCCUGCUAAGCUGCAACUGACAUUGAGGCUCGAAAGUGUGGGUAUCAAACAGGAUUAGAUACCCUGGUAGUCCACACGGUAAACGAUGAAUACUCGCUGUUUGCGAUAUACUGCAAGCGGCCAAGCGAAAGCGUUAAGUAUUCCACCUGGGGAGU
rnacentral:rRNA from 1 species